UACGUAGGGUCCAAGCGUUAUCCGGAAUCACUGGGCGUAAAGCGUGCGUAGGCGGCGUGUUAAGUGUGAUGUUAAAUCGUGUGGCUCAACCAUAUCGAUGCAUCGCAUACUGGCAUGCUAGAGGAAGGCAGAGGCAAGUGGAAUUAGUAGUGUAGCAGUGAAAUGCGUAGAGAUUACUAGGAACACCAAUGGCGAAGGCAGCUUGCUGGGCCUUUUCUGACGCUGAGGUACGAAGGCGUGGGGAGCGAACAGG
rnacentral:rRNA from 1 species